AUUGAACGCUGGCGGCAGGCCUAACACAUGCAAGUCGAGCGGAGCGGCGGACGGGUGAGUACUGCCUAGGAAUCUGCCUGGUAGUGGGCGAUAACUUCCGGAAACGGGCCCUAAUCCCGCAUCCUAUCAGCUGAGCCUAGGUCGGAUUAGCUAGUUGGUGGGUUAAAGGCCUACCAAGGCGACGAUCCCUCGCUGGUCUGAGAGGAUGACCAGCCACACUGGAACUGAGACACGGUCCAGACUCCUACGGGAGGCAGCAGUGGGGAAUAUGCCACAAUGGGCGAAAGCCUGAUGCAGCCAUGCCGCGUGAAUGAAGAAGGCCUUCGGAUUGUAAAGUACUUUCGUCGGGGAGGCGGUACCCGCAGAAGAAGCAACGGCUAACUCCGUGCCAGCAGCCGCGGUAAUAC
rnacentral:rRNA from 1 species